UACGUAGGGUGCAAGCGUUGUCCGGAAUUAUUGGGCGUAAAGAGCUCGUAGGCGGUUUGUCGCGUCUGCUGUGAAAACUCGGGGCUUAACCCCGGGCCUGCAGUGGGUACGGGCAGGCUAGAGUUCGGUAGGGGAGACUGGAAUUCCUGGUGUAGCGGUGAAAUGCGCAGAUAUCAGGAGGAACACCGGUGGCGAAGGCGGGUCUCUGGGCCGAUACUGACGCUGAGGAGCGAAAGCGUGGGGAGCGAACAGG
rnacentral:rRNA from 1 species